GCCAGAGUGGUGAAAUUGGUAGACACAGGGGAUUCAAAAUCCCCCGCUAGUGAUAGUGUGCCGGUUCGAGUCCGGCCUCUGGUACCA
rnacentral:tRNA from 1 species